CCUACGGGCGGCAGCAGUGAGGAAUAUUGGUCAAUGGGCGGGAGCCUGAACCAGCCAAGUCGCAUGAAGGAAGAAGGUACUUAGUAUUGUAAACUUCUUUUGUCGGGGAACAAAGGCGGAGACGCGUCUCCGGAUGAGUGUACCCGAAGAAAAAGCAUCGGCUAACUCCGUGCCAGCAGCCGCGGUAAUACGGAGGAUGCGAGCGUUAUCCGGAUGUAUUGGGUUUAAAGGGUGCGCAGGCGGGAGAUCAAGUCAGCGGUAAAAUGUCGGGGCGCAACCCCGGCCGGCCGUUGAAACUGGUGAUCUUGAGUGGGCGAGAAGUAUGUGGAAUGCGUGGUGUAGCGGUGAAAUGCAUAGAUAUCACGCAGAACUCCGAUUGCGAAGGCAGCAUACCGGCGCCCGACUGACGCUGAGGCACGAAAGCGUGGGGAUCGAACAGGAUUAGAUACCCCAGUAGUG
rnacentral:rRNA from 1 species